GUAUAUCGGCUUAACCUAAGCUGGUUCAAAGCAGGGAUCCCCUUCACGACGACCUCACGUCACCACCAUCAUUUGAAAAACGACAUAACCCUAGCCGCCAUCGCCGGAGGUUGUGUUUCACCUUCACCGGAACCGAGAACCCUGACGCCGUCGCUUGACUCCGUCGCUCACUGACGUCCAUUGCACCGUCAAUACUCCGCCAUCACUCGACUAAGUGAUUCCUCAUGUCCGCCUCCUAUUCGACGUUCCGUUGCACCAAAGCCACCGUCUGCCGCCGACGAUUGCUUCCGUUUCACCGACAUCUACCUCCGACAACAGUCAAUCUUACUGACAUUCAUCAAUUACAGGCGUAUGAAAAUAUAAACAUUCUAGGACUAAUGACAUCACGAGCGAUAGGGAGAAGACUCCAUCAUGGAGAUGUUAGCGGUAAAGAAAACAUGAGCAUUUAAUAGGUGCAGAUUUGGAUGAACUACAUGAACCUUUACUUGGGAAUAAGGAUGACAACAAGCCUAACCGGUUAAAGGUACAAACGUAUGAAGAUGUUUUGUAUGAUGAAAAAGGAAAAGAAAUCCUCCACUAGGCAUUUCUAUUCUCUAAUAUAAUUUUAGAAUGGGCACAAUGGUUAGAUUUUGACUUUGCCUUCAACAUUUGGAAGUGGACCAACAAAGAAGUUUCUUCCACCGUUACUUACUCCAUUACAGGAUGGAAAGUUGUCCCUGGUAGCUGUUUGGUGUUCUUCCCCGGUUAUGUUGUUGAUAAAAUUGUCUUAGCAGGCCCACCACUUGUGAAGGCUGAUACUACUUGUAAAGAAGUAUCCUUUGAAGAUCUUGGAGGUGCAAAUGUCCAUAAUUAGGUGUUUUAGACUUUCUUGCUCAUGGUAGAGAAAAUGUCCAUAAAUAGCAACUUACUUUACUCUCACUACCAAUAUUGUCAACAUACUUUACUGUUUAAUGAUAAUCCAUGCUCUUAUAAUAAUUAGAAAUUUAGCAUCCUCAUCAAUCUCUCAAUGUCUCAAUGCUACUGUAAUACUGAUUACAAAGGUGUGUGCCACGUUACAAGGUCAUUGUAGGCCUGGAGGGGUACACACAAAUUAAUUAAAUUCAAUUUUAUAUAAGUAAUUAGACAUGUUAUAUUAGUUAACUUUGUUCAUGGUUUGUAUUCAGGUCUUACUUGGUACCGAUUCCCACACGUGUACUGCUGGAGCAUUUGGCCAGUUUGCUACCGGAAUUGGAAACACUGAUGCCGGAUUUGUGUUAGGAACCGGAAAGCUAUUGCUUAAGGUUUGAAAAUUUUGUAUCGUGUACUGGUUUUUUCUGUUGCCUUUUAUCAUAGGUGGUGUUUGUUUGUUAUCAUGGAAUUGGGGAAGGAAUGGAAUGAUUCAUUCCAUUGGAAUUAUAAAAACUUUGUUCGCCA